GCCCUGGUGGUGAAAUGGUUAUCACGAAAGUUUGUGGAACUUUAGUUUUUGGUUCAAUUCCAAGCCAGGGUACCA
rnacentral:tRNA from 5 species